rnacentral:rRNA from 1 species
UACGUAGGGGGCAAGCGUUGUCCGGAAUCAUUGGGCGUAAAGCGCGUGUAGGCGGCCCGGUAAGUCCGCUGUGAAAGUCCAGGGCUCAACCCUGGAAAGCCGGUGGAUACUGUCGGGCUAGAGUCCGGAAGAGGCGAGUGGAAUUCCUGGUGUAGCGGUGAAAUGCGCAGAUAUCAGGAGGAACACCAAUUGCGAAGGCAGCUCGCUGGGACGGCACUGACGCUGAGACGCGAAAGCGUGGGGAGCAAACAGG